UCCGAUAUGGUCUAACUGUUAGGACAUGUGGCUCUCAAUGCUCGUAAAGAGCAAGAGUGCCCUCAAAGUCCGGGUUCAACUCCCGGUGUCGGAA